GACGACGCUGGCGGCGUGGAUUAGGCAUGCAAGUCGAACGGUAUCAUCCUUUCGGGGAUGAGAGAGUGGCGAACGGGUGAGUAACACGUAGGUGAUCUACCUCAAGACGGGACAACCCAGGGAAACUUGGGCUAAUACCGGAUGUGAGCUAUCGCGAGAUAGUUUGAAAGGUGGCUUCGGCUGCCGCUUGGGGAUGAGCCUGCGUCCUAUUAGCUAGUUGGUGAGGUAACGGCUCACCGAGGCAGUGAGUAGGUAGGCGGCCUUAACGGGUGGUCGCCCACACUGGGAUUGAGAUACGGCCCAGACUCCUACGGGAGGCAGCAGUCGAGAAUAGUCUACAAUGGUCGAAAGACUGAUAGUGCGACGCCGCGUGAACGAAGAAGCCCUUCGGGGUGUAAAGUUCUUUUAUAUGUGAGCAGUGACAUCUAUAUUAAUAGUAUGGGUGUAGAGAUAUUAGCAUAUGAAUAAGCAACGGCUAACUCCGUG
rnacentral:rRNA from 1 species